GGCCUAACACAUGCAAGUCGAGCGAGGACUUCGGUUCUAGCGGCGGACGGGUGAGUAACGCGUGGGAACGUGCCCCUUGGUACGGAACAGCCCCGGGAAACUGGGAGUGAUACCGUAUGAGCCCUACGGGGGAAAGAUUUAUCGCCAAGGGAUCGGCCCGCGUUGGAUUAGGUAGUUGGUGGGGUAAAGGCCUACCAAGCCGACGAUCCAUAGCUGGUUUGAGAGGAUGAUCAGCCACACUGGGACUGAGACACGGCCCAGACUCCUACGGGAGGCAGCAGUGGGGAAUCUUAGACAAUGGGCGCAAGCCUGAUCUAGCCAUGCCGCGUGAGUGAUGAAGGCCCUAGGGUUGUAAAGCUCUUUCGUGGGGGAAGAUAAUGACUGUACCCCAAGAAGAAGCCCCGGCUAACUCCGUGCCAGCAGCCGCGGUUAA
rnacentral:rRNA from 1 species